GGUUGCCACUUCAAGGGACUACAUCAUGAUGUCCUGUUUCUAAUGACCUCCCAAUCAUCCUGCAGAAGAUUCUUCAAAUGGGGAUCAACAUGUCCUUAUUUAAGGUUUGUGAUGAAGAAAUAAACAAUCCCCAGUUCCUGCCCUAGAGAAGCUCAUUGCAUAGAAAAAGGAACAAGGCAGAUAUACAUGCCACAGUACAGUAAUGAGACAACAUAAAUCACAAGCAACCAAGUCCAAAGGUUCUUUACACAGCCAAUAGCUGGUGCUACAAGCAGAUCAAAACCAGGAUUGAUGGUAAUGGAAGAGGAACAGACUGGAAGAGCUGGCUCUUCUGGCAGUUUUUU
rnacentral:lncRNA from 10 species